rnacentral:tRNA from 1 species
GGCGCUGCGGGCGGCUGGACCGGCCACCGGCAUCCCAGGCAUGCCGGGCAUCCCGGGUAAGGCGGCCUGCGGGUCGGCACCCGCAGCGGCGCCG